UUUCCGUAGGUGAACCUGCGGAAGGAUCAUUACCGAUUCUCUCUUCCCAACCCACCUCGCACGUCGCGUGCGCGUGUUGGCGGCACGGUCCGCUGCAUGCGUGCGUGCGUGCGUUGGGCAACCCUUGGCGUGCGUGCGCGCCUGGGUGCGAACGUGUUGUUUUUUCUUUGCUCCAGUCUCAGAGCGGGAGUGGGCCCUUCGCAGGGCCUGCUCCGUCUGCUCGCCUUUUUUCCAUUUGCAACCCUUAACGCUCUGCCUGACCAAAAACGAAAAACGAUCCAAACCGCGUACAACUCUUAGCAACGGAUAUCUUGGUUCUC
rnacentral:misc_RNA from 1 species